GUAAAUCCGCCCAGGGUUAGGCGGGACCUAAGGCGAGGCCGAAAGGCGUAGUCGAUGGACAGCUGGUUAAUAUUCCAGCCCCGUCAUGUAAGGUUGAAUCUACGGUGCGGAUCUUGAAGUUCAGCGGGACAGUGAAGCGUCCAGGCCCUUGAGGCCGUUGCUGGGUAGAUAGGUUCCAAGAAAAGCCGUUCGAUGACGAACAUGACGCCCGUACUAAAACUGACACAGGUAGGUGUGGCGAAUAGCCUCAGGCGCUCGAGAAAAUGGUUGUGAAGGAACUAGGCAAAUUGACCCUGUAAGUUCGCGAUAAAGGGGCCCUAUCCAAUUUGGAAGGGCGCAGAGAAAAGGCUCUGGCGACUGUUUAUCAAAAACACAGCACUGUGCUAACACGCAAGUGGACGUAUACAGUGUGACUCCUGCUCGGUGCCGGAAUGUUAAGGAAGCAGGUUAGUCCUUUAAUGGGCAAAGCUUGUGACUGAAGCACCGGUAAACAGCGGCCGUAACUAUGACGGUCCUAAGGUAGCGAAGUUCCUUGUCGGGUAAGUUCCGACGUGCAUGAAUGGAGUAACGACUGGAGCACUGUCUCCACAACCAACUCGGUGAAAUAGUAGUGGCGGUGAAGAUGCCGCCUACCCGCAGCAAGACGGAAAGACCCCGUGGACCUUUACUGCAGGCAUAUAUUGGUCAUGGACCUGUACUGCGUAGGAUAGGUGGGAGGCUUUGAAGCUGAGUUUUCGGACUUGGUGGAGCCAUUCUUGAAAUACCACCCUGUGCUAGUUUGUGGCCUAACCCCGAUUCCCAUGAAGCUGGGCGGGGGACCAUGUAUGCUGGGCGGUUUGACUGGGGCGGUCUCCUCCUAAAAGGUAACGGAGGAGCGCAAUGGUUGGUUCAGCGCGGAUGGAAACCGCGUGUUGAAUGUAAGAGUACAAGCCAGCUUUACUGUGAGUCAUACAGGACAAACAGUCUCGAAAGAGGGCUCUAGUGAUCCUGCAAUCCCGUGUGGAAGGGUUGUAGCUCAACGGAUAAAAGGUACCCCGGGGAUAACAGGCUUAUCGCUCCCGAGCGUCCAUAGCGGCGGAGCGGUUUGGCACCUCGAUGUCGGCUCAUCACAUCCUGGGGCUGUAGGCGGUCCCAAGGGUUGGGCUGUUCGCCCAUUAAAGUGGUACGCGAGCUGGGUUCAGACCGGCGUGAGCCAGGUCGGUCCCUAUCUGCUGUGGGCGUUGCAUUAUU
rnacentral:rRNA from 1 species